rnacentral:rRNA from 1 species
UACGUAGGGUGCGAGCGUUAAUCGGAAUUACUGGGCGUAAAGCGUGCGCAGGCGGUCCGUUGUGUCGGCGGUGAAAGCCCCGGGCUUAACCUGGGAAUGGCCGGUGAAACUGGCGAACUGGAGUGUGGCAGAGGGGGGUGGAAUUCCGCGUGUAGCAGUGAAAUGCGUAGAGAUGCGGAGGAACACCGAUGGCGAAGGCAGCCCCCUGGGCUAACACUGACGCUCAGGCACGAAAGCGUGGGGAGCAAACAGG